GGCGAGCAAAACCAACGCUUCGUCCUCUCACUCUUCCUUUGGGAGGGUUAUUUAUAUUCCUCGAGAAACCACCGAAAGCAUUGACUAAUUGCUGAAGGGGUCGGCCACAUGCUUUGGCUAAAGGGCAUGAAAAAUCGUUUUCUGUCUUUCACUUUGCAUCCUUUGCCAAAGUGGGCAGGGAGAAAGAGCUCGUGGUGAGGCGGGUGAAACGGAGGCCGCUGUAUGUGCUCUUUCUUCAGCCACAACCCCGAGGAAGAGCAUGUUUGGUGGUAGCACGUUUCUAGGUCUCUCUCCUCGAGAUAGGCGUAGUAUGUGCAUGAGUCUUCUCUUCUCGCCGCCAUGACCCUGCCUUGGGUUCUUUGACGCUGAAGCCUCUAGUCUGCAGGUAUUCCGUUUUUUCACACUUUCGUACUUUGUAAUAUCUUGUAGAUUAUUUUGUCAGAAAUUCUCGUAAAGCAUCAUCGUCGAUUCUUUCACCCAGCUGCUCUGGCUCUCUUGUUCACUGUUGUCUUCCUCUUGUAAACGUGUCUGCUUCACCCCUGAGUCCAUGCCUCGGAUUCCGCCAUUUCUACUACACUAAACGAUUUUCGAAUGAAAUAAUUGUUGAUGUACAUUUGAGAAAUGUUUUUAGGCUCGAAGUUAUUUUAAAAAAUGGCUUGAAGCUAUUUAAAUAGGCUUGAAGCUAUUUAAAAAAUUGUGUUAAUAUUUUCAAAAGUUAUUUUCACGAUGAGGUACGCGUUUCUUCACAUAGCAUGCAUGUUCCGUUAGUUUUGGGUGGUGUUGUGCAAUUGAUUUUGGGGUUUGCGUUUGUUUAGGGAUUUGAAUGAUUUAAACAACAUGUAAAUAGUGUUUGGCUGCUACCUUAAUGUUUCUGGAGGAAAAUUAAUACAGUGAUGUGUUUGGAUAUGAUGCUAGUGUUUUGAGGAUGGCCUAUUAAUUCCCCUGAAGUCAAAAAUAUGUUGCACAUCCCUCACAUUGUGUUUUGUUGAAUAGAUUAUGGUCAGUUUUGUAUUAUAUAUUUCUGUUAAAAGAAAGUGCUGGUGAGGAAUCAGCUGUGGCAGAAAUAGUACAUAUUAGAA
ensembl:lncRNA